rnacentral:tRNA from 1 species
AGGGAUGUAGCUCAGUGGUAGAGCGCAUGCUUUGUAUGUAUGAGGUCCCGGGUUCGAUCCCCGGCGUUGUGU